rnacentral:tRNA from 3 species
CGCGGGGUAGAGCAGUUUGGUAGCUCGUCGGGCUCAUAACCCGGAGGUCGCAGGUUCAAAUCCUGUCCCCGCAACCA